rnacentral:rRNA from 1 species
UACGUUGGUGGCAAGCGUUGUCCGGAUUUACUGGGCGCAAAGAGCGCGCAGGCGGUCGGAUAAGUCGAGUGUGAAAGCCCCUGGCUCAACCAGGGAGGGUCAUUCGAUACUGUUCGACUCGAAGGCAGGAGAGGGAAGUGGAAUUCCGGGUGUAGUGGUGAAAUGCGUAGAUAUCGGGAGGAACACCAGUGGCGAAGGCGACUUCCUGGCCUGUUCUUGACGCUGAGGCGCGAAAGCUAGGGGAGCAAACGGG